rnacentral:rRNA from 1 species
GGAUUAGAUACCCUGGUAGUCCACGCCGUAAACGAUGUCUACUUGGAGGUUGUGGCCUUGAGCCGUGGCUUUCGGAGCUAACGCGUUAAGUAGACCGCCUGGGGAGUACGGUCGCAAGAUUAAAACUCAAAUGAAUUGACGGGGGCCCGCACAAGCGGUGGAGCAUGUGGUUUAAUUCGAUGCAACGCGAAGAACCUUACCUACUCUUGACAUCUACAGAAGCUUGCGGAGACGCGAGUGUGCCUUCGGGAACUGUAAGACAGGUGCUGCAUGGCUGUCGUCAGCUCGUGCCG